AGGUCCCCACCGAAGCAACCUUCAUGACUUUUUUACAGAUCACUUCUCCAAGAGACCCAAUCUCGCUGUCCACUCCAGUGUCCCGACGUCCUGCGAAAUCUUGCACCAACAGAUUGACGUUAAAAGAAGGGCUAUUCCCAUUUGGAGAAGUACAAAUUGAGAGCAGUAAAAUCAUGCCACCUAAGAGAGCUUCAUCCUACCA
rnacentral:lncRNA from 1 species